rnacentral:rRNA from 1 species
UACAGAGGUGGCAAGCGUUGUUCGGAAUUACUGGGCGUAAAGGGCGCGUAGGCGGUCUUGUCAGUCCCUUGUGAAAUCCCCCGGCUCAACUGGGGAACUGCAAGGGAAACAGCAGGGCUUGAGUUCGGGAGAGGGAAGCGGAAUUCCAGGUGGUAGCGGUGAAAUGCGUAGAUAUCUGGAGGAACACCGGUGGCGAAGGCGGCAUCCUGGACCGAUACUGACGCUGAGGAGCGAAAGCCAGGGGAGCAAAGCGGG